rnacentral:rRNA from 1 species
CGUGCCUUUAGGUUCGGAAUAACUCAGGGAAACUUGUGCUAAUACCGAAUGUGCCCUUCGGGGGAAAGAUUUAUCGCCUUUAGAGCGGCCCGCGUCUGAUUAGCUAGUUGGUGAGGUAACGGCUCACCAAGGCGACGAUCAGUAGCUGGUCUGAGAGGAUGACCAGCCACACUGGGACUGAGACACGGCCCAGACUCCUACGGGAGGCAGCAGUGGGGAAUCUUGCGCAAUGGGCGAAAGCCUGACGCAGCCAUGCCGCGUGAAUGAUGAAGGUCUUAGGAUUGUAAAAUUCUUUCACCGGGGACGAUAAUGACGGUACCCGGAGAAGAAGCCCCGGCUAACUUCGUGCCAGCAGCCGCGGUAAUACGAAGGGGGCUAGCGUUGCUCGGAAUUACUGGGCGUAAAGGGCGCGUAGGCGGAUCGUUAAGUCAGGGGUGAAAUCCCGGGGCUCAACCUCGGAACUGCCCUUGAUACUGGCGAUCUUGAGUAUGAGAGAGGUAUGUGGAACUCCGAGUGUAGAGGUGAAAUUCGUAGAUAUUC